GAGACAACAUUCCUCCCCAAAUCGUCAAGAGCUUGAUGUACCAACUCUGCAAAGGAAUCGCAUUCUGCCAUGGCCACGGUGUGCUGCACAGAGAUCUUAAGCCUCACAAUCUCUUGAUGGAUCCCAAGACGAUGAGGCUCAAGAUUGCAGAUCUUGGUUUAGCCAGAGCCUUCACUCUCCCUAUGAAGAA